GGAUGUACUUAUUCAUCAAUAUACUUGGGCUGCUUUGUGUCAUUCCUGUAUGAACAUCUAUUGCAUUUUUCAAAAGUUUGUCACAAACUGAUAAAGUUAAAACACAAGAGAAAAAUGAAUUUGCCUGAUUCUGUUACUCUGUGAAGAAUAUACCAGGAAGAUUUUGCUGGAGGUAUCAGAAAAAUCCACAGUAAGACAGAAAGAGGGAGACAUUUCUGAAGUUUGUUCCCCAGGGAAGCCUGUCUGUCUUUCGACUAAGGGAGAGAAGGAUUUGCUCUAUUAC
rnacentral:lncRNA from 1 species